UUACCUUAAACAGGGGCAUGACUCACCAUCCUGUCUUGUCCUCCGGUGGCAUCUUUCUUAAGCCCUGCCUCCUCCAUCUUGGUCUCCCUGAACUCCUACCUAACAGAUGCAGAAGCUUAUUAUGAUCUAUAAUUAACAAUUUUGCUGAAAGCAGAGCCGAGCAAUGAAGAGAGCCCACAUGCUAUCUGAGAAGUACUUGAAACAGGAGGUCUUUGUUUUCAUCACAAAUUUGGCAAACAGGAACCCCCUCCCUCUCUGCUAUGUAUUGUCGAAUUCAGAAGUCCACAAGUGUCGCAGCAGAAAAUUGAAAGGAAGAUUUUGAACUUUAGCAACAUUCCAAUUUGCUACCUUCAAAUCUAAAUAAACCAGGGGUUCUCAAA